UACGUAGGGGGCUAGCGUUGUCCGGAAUUAUUGGGCGUAAAGCGCGCGUAGGCGGGAUAGUCAGUCUGUUGUAAAAGCGCGGAGCUCAACCCCGUAAGGUCAAUUAAAACUGCUAUGCUUGAGUGCAGGAGAGGAGAGUGGAAUUCCCAGUGUAGAGGUGAAAUGCGUAGAUAUUGGGAGGAACACCAGUGGCGAAGGCGACUUUCUGGACUGUGUCUGACGCUGAGGUGCGAAAGCCAGGGGAGCGAACGGG
rnacentral:rRNA from 1 species